CAAUAAUGCAGCAAUAACAAAUCCACCAGAGGAAAACAUAACAUUUCAGUUAUUUUCUAUACAUAUUGUGGUUCACAAGAUGUGUAGAAAAAACGUUUUAUUUUGCAUUAUGAUAGGCUUGGAAACAGUUUCUGUCCUUGUUCAGACAAAGAUGCACUCUGCAUUUCUCACAGAACACAUAGGAAAAGUGGCCCACACAGUGCUUGCAUCUCUGUCGGGUUUCCCAUGUUGGGAAAUGAUUGAGGCCGUCCUUUCUCACAUCAGGGGGCAACUCAGUGGUUUUCCUUCUCCUAGGAGGGGCUGGCGUUGCUUCCGGAGAGGACAAAGGUCUGCCACACUUUUUGACCUUUCGUGCACUUGUGUAGCGGAUCCAUGCAUUUAUUACUGCCACUGUGAUGGUGUGCCACCAAAUGUAGAUGUACCAUCUUCGGGAUCUGAAGCUGAACUUGUACAGAGCAGAAAGCAUAUCUAGAAGGUCAAUGCCUCCCAUGAACCUGUUGUAAGUGUCAACAAUGGCCGGUCUGGGAACCAUUAUGUGGGUUUUGGCUUUUCGAUCCCAACGCUUCACACUGCCCAGAGGUUCAACACCAACAAAGGAAGAGAGCAGGUUCACAGCUUUGUUGUCAGACCAUCUCACAAUGAUGUUGUUUUCCUGGAUUACUCUGAAAUCCAGUGACCCUCUUCCCUUUUUCUUCAGUUGUGUCCCAGUCCUUUGCCAUGGCAGUCUUGUAGUAUCAGUGGAAAGGCCUCUGGAGACCACACACACCUAGACACAUACCUGAAGCACUCACCAAAUACACCUUGAUGCCAAUUUCUGUUGUUGGACUAAGAUCUGUGACCCGACUUGGAAUACAGAAAGUAAAAGGUUUCCUGCCUCAUGUCUUCCUUCUUCCACCUGCUGCACCACAUCUGGUCCUGAACUGAAUCCAGUCUAAGUAGUGUUCUGACAGACACUCCAGGUUGAGAGCAGUGACAAACCUGAACAGUGCCUUUAAACCGUCCUACAAAUUAAGAGCAGCCUCAGCUACAGUGACAUAACAUAAAAAAUAGACUUUUUACAACCCUUUCAAAUUGAUUGUUUGUGGAAGGAGAGUAUUUAGAGCAAAGAUGAUCCCACGACAUUGCAUCAGGGUGACCAUCUCCUCUUUCAUAUCAAAAAGCAUAUCAUCGUCUUCCUGGUCACUAUCUCCAAUCAGCCUGACAGCUGUCCCUGCUGUCACAGAUUUCCCCUGGAGCUACGGAUGGAAUUAAGAUGAUUUCCAGCUGAUGGCCACUGGCUGUCAACUUCCCAGUGGGUCGUUCCAUCUGCUCACCAGGGGAAGGGAAAUUUGGUCUUUCAAUUUAGUUUAAUCAUUUCUUUAUUGUUUGUUUUUCUGAAAGUUAGUUCAGUUCUAAUAUUUACUUAAUUUAAAUAUUUAGUAAUGUUUGUCAGUAUUUGUCUGUUUUUUGUGUGUUUAAUUAUCUCUUUUGGGUUUAG